UACGGAGGGUGCAAGCGUUAUUCGGAAUUACUGGGCGUAAAGUGCGCGUAGGCGGCUGGGUAAGUCGGAGGUGAAAGCCCCGGGCUCAACCUGGGAAUUGCAUUCGAUACUGCUUGGCUAGAGUACAGUAGAGGAGAGGGGAAUUCCCGGUGUAGCGGUGAAAUGCGUAGAUAUGGGGAGGAACACCAGUGGCGAAGGCGCCUCUCUGGACUGAUACUGACGCUGACAGAGCGAAAGCGGGGGGAGCAAAAAGG
rnacentral:misc_RNA from 1 species